rnacentral:rRNA from 1 species
UACAGAGGGUGCGAGCGUUGUCCGGAAUCACUGGGCGUAAAGGGCGCGUAGGCGGCGCGGUAAGCGUGCGGUGAAAGCCCGGGGCUCAACCCCGGGUCGGCCGUGCGGACGGCCGGGCUGGAGCACUGUAGAGGCAGGUGGAAUUCCGGGUGUAGCGGUGGAAUGCGUAGAGAUCCGGAAGAACACCGGUGGCGAAGGCGGCCUGCUGGGCAGUAGCUGACGCUGAAGCGCGACAGCGUGGGGAGCAAACAGG